rnacentral:rRNA from 1 species
CGGGAAUUUUGGGCAAUGGGCGAAAGCCUGACCCAGCAACGCCGCGUGAGGGAUGAAGUAUUUCGGUAUGUAAACCUCGAAAGAAUGGGAAGAAUAAAUGACGGUACCAUUUAUAAGCUCCGGCUAACUACGUGCCAGCAGCCGCGGUAAUACGUAGGGAGCAAGCGUUGUUCGGAUUUACUGGGCGUAAAGGGCGCGUAGGCGGCGCGGUAAGUCACUUGUGAAAUCUCUGAGCUUAACUCAGAACGGCCAAGUGAUACUGCUGUGCUAGAGUGCGGAAGAGGCGACCGGACUUCUUUGUGUAGCGGUGAAAUGCGUAGAUAUCAAGGGGAACACCUGAGGCGAAGGCGGGUUGCUGGGCCGACACUGACGCUGAUGCGCG